rnacentral:snRNA from 1 species
GGCUGUGAGGGCGAUCUGGCUGCGACAUCUGCCACCCCACUGAUCGCCAGGGUUGAUUCGGCUGAUUUGGCCGGCUAGUCGGGUGUCCCCUUCCUGCCUCACCGCCCCCUGUGCAUCCCUCCCGGAGCUGUGCGCUGGGUGGAGGAGGACGGCCUCCCCUGAGCAGAGAGGGACCAGUCUUCAGUGGAGGGUGUACGAGUAGCUGCGCUCCCCUGCUAGAACCUCCAAACAAGCUCUCAAGGUUACAGGUUAAAACAAGGCUUAAAAACCACCAACUGGGGAGU